rnacentral:rRNA from 1 species
AGCGAACGCUGGCGGAAUGCUUAACACAUGCAAGUCGCACGGGGGCUUCGGCUCGAGUGGCGGACGGGUGAGUAACGCGUAGGAACGUGUCUUGGGGUGGGGGAUAACGCUGGGAAACUGGCGCUAAUACCGCAUAUGGGCUGAGGCCCAAAGCCUUCGGGUGCCUUGAGAGCGGCCUGCGUCCGAUUAGCUAGUUGGUGGGGUAACUGCUUACCAAGGCGACGAUCGGUAGCUGGUCUGAGAGGACGAUCAGCCACACUGGGACUGAGACACGGCCCAGACUCCUACGGGAGGCAGCAGUGGGGAAUAUUGGACAAUGGGCGGAAGCCUGAUCCAGCAAUUCCGCGUGGGUGAAGAAGGUCUUCGGAUUGUAAAGCCCUUUCGACAGGGACGAUGAUGACGGUACCUGUAGAAGAAGCCCCGGCUAACUUCGUGCCAGCCGCCGCCGUAACAC